rnacentral:rRNA from 1 species
GACGAGGGACCCUAGCGUUGUUCGGAAUCACUGGGCGUAAAGCGUUUGUAGGCGGCUCUAUAAGUCGGGUGUGAAAUCCCACGGCUCAACCGUGGAAGUGCAUUCGAAACUGCAGAGCUUGAAUAUGGAAGAGGAGAGUAGAAUUGCUGGUGUAGUGGUGAAAUACGUAGAUAUCAGCAGGAAUACCGGUGGCGAAGGCGGCUCUCUGGUCCAAUAUUGACGCUGAGAAACGAAAGUGCGGGGAUCAAACAGG